ACGAACGUUGGCGGCGUGGAUUAGGCAUGCAAGUCGAACGAAAGCCAGCUGUGUAGCAAUACACGGCUGGUGGAAGUGGCGAAAGGGGCAGUAAGGCAUGGGUAACCUACCCCGGGGACCGGGACAGUCACGUAACAGUGGUAAAUACCGGGCGAUAUGGCCGGAGCGCAUGUUCUGGCCAUGAGAUGAAUUUCGCCUCGGGAGGGGCUCAUGUGGUAUUAGCUUGUUGGUAGGGUGACGGCCUACCAAGGCCAAGAUGCCUAGCGGGUGUGAGAGCACGACCCGCGCCACUGGCACUGAGACACUGGCCAGACACCUACGGGUGGCUGCAGUCGAGGAUCUUUGGCAAUGAGCGCAAGCUUGACCAAGCGACGCCGCGUGUGCGACGAAGGCCUUCGGGUUGUAAAGCACUGUCGAGGGGGACGAAGCCGAAAGGUUGACCGAUCCCUGGAGGAAGCACGGGCUAAGUUCGUGCCAGCAGCCGCGGUAAGACGAACCGUGCGAACGUUGUUCGGAAUCACUGGGCUUAAAGGGCGCGUAGGCGGUUUGCCUAGUCAGGGGUGAAAUCUUUCGGCUUAACCGGAAAAGUGCCCUUGAUACUGGCAGACUCGAGGGAGGUAGGGGCAGGUGGAACUUCCCGGUGGAGCGGUGAAAUGCGUUGAUAUCGGAAAGGAACGCCCGGUGGCGAAAGCGACCUGCUGGAUCUCUACUGACGCUGAGGCGCGAAAGCCAGGGAGCGAACGGGAUUAGAUACCCCGGUAGUCCUGGGCCCUAAACGAUGGGUACUAGAUAGUAGGCUAAACAUGGGUUUACUGUCGAAGCAAAAGUGGUAAGUACCCCCGUCUGGGGAGUAUGGUCGCAAGGCUGAAACUCAAAGGAAUUGACGGGGGCUCACACAAGCGGUGGAGCAUGUGGCUCAAUUCGAGGCUACGCGAAGAACCUUAUCCUGGGCUUGACAUGUGCGAAAGCGCUAGGAAGUAGCUGCCGGAAACGGUUCGCCAACGGUAUCCAGUCCGGAACCUAGUACAGGUGCUGCAUGGCUGUCGUCAGCUCGUGUCGUGAGAUGUCGGGUUAAGUCCCAUAACGAGCGAAACCCUUGCCCUUAGUUGCCAGCGGGUCAUGCCGGGGACUCUAGGGGGACUGCCGGCGUCAAGCCGGAGGAAGGUGGGGAUGACGUCAAGUCCUCAUGGCCUUUAUGCCCAGGGCUGCACACGUGCUACAAUGGCGUGAACAAAGGGACGCAAGUGCCGCAAGGUACAAGCAAAUCCCAAAAAACACGCCCCAGUUCAGAUCGAAGGCUGCAACUCGCCUUCGUGAAGUUGGAAUCGCUAGUAAUCGCAGGUCAGCAACACUGCGGUGAAUGUGUUCCUGAGCCUUGUACACACCGCCCGUCAAGCCACGAAAGGGAGGGACAUCCGAAGUCGCCCUCAAAAGCGCCGAAGAUGGACUUCCUGAUUGGGACUA
rnacentral:rRNA from 1 species